AGGUAGAGCACGUCUGGUUUACUUUGGCUUAAUUUGAUAUUGAGAUCUAUAUAACGAUAUUAAAAAAGCUGGAGUUAGGCUUAGUGUGGUAUUGAAAUGUAUCCAAUACUAUAAGAUAAAAUGGAGUUGAGAAAAAAGCAUAUAGGGAUAUGCUUUUGCUGACCGCAAAAAAUAUAUCGUAACCGAGUCAUCGCAAUAUGCGGAACGCAAUAUUACGUACGGAAACAAAUAGGUUAUUUUUCUAUCAUACUUUCUCAAAAGUAUAUAGAAAUAUGCUUUUGCGUUUUCUGGUGGGCCCGUCGAAAAGACUCAUCGCGAUAUGCGAAACGUAGUAUACGUAUGGAAACAGACAAGAUAUUUUUACAUGGUACUUUCUCACCGUAUGUAACGCAAUCUUCCAGCAAUCUGGAAUGAAGCCUUAGGCAGUGUUUGGUUUAGAGAUAAAGUGAAAAUAGACCACUUUAUUAAUAUCUAAUUUAUCCCAACACUAGAGGGGGGAAUGAAUUUAUUUAAUCCCCUCUUAAUGAUUUCUUCUCUUUAUACUUUUACUACACUACAAUGAAAAUGAUGUUUAACGACAGUUUUAAAUAUUAGUAUAAGUCAAAAAAAAAGUGCUGCUGGCUAAAUUAUCGACACUUUUUGAAAGUGUUGCUAUAUGUGGGGUUGCUAUAUAUGGGCCACCUCAAUGUUUGACACUCAUUCCUCCAGCGACCUGUGGUGGAGGGACAUGUGGCGAUCGUAACUCUCUACGGUCCCUACGAGAUCCUCACAGUCGAACUCCAACCGCCGGAACCCUAUCUCGUCGGCCGUGGCGGAGGAGAAAGAAAAUUGAUGAUCAAUUUUUUUUUAUUUUCUUUUCUGUAAUUGGGCCGAGUGGGCUAGGUAGGUUGGUUGAGUAAAGAAACUUUUUAUUUUUUGUUGGAUUGGAUUUUAUAUUUAGACUUUAAUAGUUUUUUUAAAAAUUUUUUUGGCAUAAAUGGAUACUUACACAAAAAUGUUCCAAAAAUGUGUUUCUAUAAUCUAAUUUUAUUAUAGUGCUAAUUUAAUAAUAAUAUAUUAUUAAUUAAUAUAUUAUAUAUUAUUUUAUUAAUUAAUUAGCUAAAUUAAUUAAUUAACUAAUUUAGUAAUAAAAUAUUAGGUAAAUUAAUAAUUAUUUAGUUUGUUUAUGUAAUAGCUA
rnacentral:lncRNA from 1 species